GUGAAAGGCAACUAUCCAACAGUUUUGCACAUGUAUGUAAUAUAGAUAAAGGAAACACAUGAAGUUGAAGAUGAAGAAGAAUUAGCCAAGCUAUCUCAAAGACUCUGAACUGUGGUGUCUGGGGUGGUACCUGACCCAUGGAGAACACUGAAGCCAUGUUGCUAUGACAGUAGAUGGACACACUAUGAAACCUGGGUGUCAGGAUAUGAAGCCGAUGACCAUGGCCCUGAAGGAGUUUGAGGUCUGGUGUGGGAGUGUAUGUGGCUGUGGAUGCAGCCAAGUUCCAGCCACCACUAAAUAGGGAAGAGUGAGAAGGAAAAGAGACACCUGCCACACUGUUCCACCACUCAUGAAGCUUACUCCACUAGAAGUGGAGACCAUCCCAGUCUUCCCACAUGAUAACCUGUGAACCCUACAUCACCUGGCCCCCAAGCUCUAUUCUUUUUACCAACUUGUCAUAUGGCCUUGGUGACUUGUUCAACUUCUUUGAACCACUCAGCAAAAGGCAAUAACCUG